ACGUGAAUGAAUGCCAAUGGCAGCUGAAGCUUUAACGUUGUUGAAUGUGAGAGGGGUGUAUGAGGCGGAGGAAGUGCACAAAACAACUCGGCAAAAUCAACAUGCAACACACGGAUACAGAUACGCGCCCAGAUACACCCGCAGCCGCACCUGCUCACACUCACACACACACACACAGCGACACACCGAGCACAUUGCACUGACAGUUGGAGCUGUCAAAUGUCGCAAGUGUAUUUGAAAAACGCGGCGGCGAAAUGCGCAAAACAUUUCGCCUGGAAAUACUUGCGUGUGCACCC
ensembl:ncRNA lncRNA:CR45509 long non-coding RNA:CR45509